AGAGAGAGAGAGAGAUGGGGGUCGGGCCUGUUACGUUUUAUGGAUCCUGGCUGUUUAUUGUCGCCCUGGGCAUAUAGGAUGUCACUAGAAGGCGCUCAACGCAUAGUGAAAAGCAGCUCGAAUCUUGGCAUGGGGACACGGGUCAUACAA